UUUGAAACUGCUUUCUUAGAGCAUCUAUGCGUUCAGCAUGCAACUCGGCUUCCAUUUUGGAUUCUUCAUUCAUCCGUUCUCUGUUUUGAAAAAGACGAUAAAUCACCUUUAGAAAUAAUCUUAGGAGUAAACAAGAAAAGAGAGAACAUGGCUCGUGGAGGUUUGGAAGCGCUUCAUCUCAGUAACUGACUGCAGGAAGGACUGAUGCCGUGCCUUCUUGUUCUCCCUGUCCUCCAAAGCCUCGAGGUCCCCUUUCAACUUCUGACUCUCUUUCAGCGCUGCAUCACGACCCUUCACUGCUCGUGAGAGCUCCUCUUCAUUCUUUUCAAGAAUGGAUUUCACCUUAGGAGAGAGAAAGAAAUGAUAAAUGACUUUUCAAAGCACAAUAAAUCAGCAGAGUAAGACAUAGCAAUUUAGAAAUCAAACUUAAAAUGUUUAAUUAAAUAUGCUUAUCCACUAUUAUAAAUAAAACCAGCUUCAGCUGUUUUUCCUCUUAAAGAAAACUUGCAAAAAAAAAAUCCGUGUGAAUAAACAUGGGCAAAUCUCUAAUAUAUGUCAAUCUCCAUGAAGCAGAGAAUGAGGGAGAUGGGAGAUAAGACCAUGAAGGUAAGAGGAAAAUGGGGGAGAAACUGAUUAUCAUGAUUAUCACAUGAUUGUCAUAUUUGGGAUUUGAAAAUAUAACGUAAAUGUACAAAUUAAUAAAAGCAGAGAUGAAUAAGUACUAAAUAGUAUCGCAGAAAAAUGAAUCCUAAUGAGAAGUACAAUUUUAUAUCCCUGAAACACAAAGUGUUAUACUAAAAAGUAUAUCUACACAAUCACUUCAGAUGACAUACUGUUUUAAAAACUACCUUUUAAAAACAUUUUAUUUUGAAAUAAUUAUAGACUCACAAGAUGUUACAAAAUUAGUGUGUAGUCCCUGUACUCUUCACUCUGCUUCUAAUGGUGACAUCUUAUAUUACUGUAGUUUAACAUCAAAACCAGGAAAUUGACUUUGGUACGUGACUGUUAGAUUAACUGGAUUAUGGAAUUCACAGUUUCAGCACUU